GAAACAUUGACUUUGAAAAAUUGUUCAACCAGUGAUGAUUUAUCCUCCGCUUGUCGCUUAUAUGUGGAUUGUCAAAAUGCAACAACUUCACUAGCAUUUCCAGAUGGUGGCUCUAAGAAGCUGCGUAGUUUAUACAUGAAUGUUAUUGUCUUUGGUGGGUCUUGGAAGUUGAAAAGCUAGCGCACUCUAAAAUUGAAAGGUUCUAAUAUUGAGAAGGUGCCAUCCUCUAUUGGCAAGUUGAAACAUUUGAGAUAUCUUGACGUCUCAAACACUAAAAUCAAAGUGUUGCCUGAAUCCAUCACCA
rnacentral:misc_RNA from 1 species